rnacentral:rRNA from 1 species
ACGCGUGGAACCUUACCAGGUCUUGACAUCCUCUGACACUCCUAGAGAUAGGACGUUCCCCUUCGGGGGACAGAGUGACAGGUGGUGCAUGGUUGUCGUCAGCUCGUGUCGUGAGAUGUUGGGUUAAGUCCCGCAACGAGCGCAACCCUUGAUCUUAGUUGCCAGCAUUUAGUUGGGCACUCUAAGGUGACUGCCGGUGACAAACCGGAGGAAGGUGGGGAUGACGUCAAAUCAUCAUGCCCCUUAUGACCUGGGCUACACACGUGCUACAAUGGAUGGUACAAAGGGCAGCAAAGCGGUGACGCCUAGCAAAUCCCAUAAAACCAUUCUCAGUUCGGAUUGUAGGCUGCAACUCGCCUACAUGAAGCUGGAAUCGCUAGUAAUCGCGGAUCAGCAUGCCGCGGUGAAUACGUUCCCGGGCCUUGUACACACCGCCCGU